rnacentral:rRNA from 1 species
UGGGGAAUCUUCCGCAAUGGACGAAAGUCUGACGGAGCAACGCCGCGUGAGUGAAGAAGGUUUUCGGAUCGUAAAGCUCUUUCGUUAGGGACGAACGUGCUCUUUGUGAAUAAUGAGGAGUAAUGACGGUACCUAAAUAAGAAGCCACGGCUAACUACGUGCCAGCAGCCGCGGUAAUACGUAGGUGGCAAGCGUUGUCCGGAAUUAUUGGGCGUAAAGCGCGCGCAGGCGGGAUAUCAAGUCUGUCUUAAAAGUGCGAGGCUCAAACUCGUGAUGGGACGGAAACUGGUAUUCUUGAGUGUCGGAGAGGAAAGUGGAAUUCCAAGUGUAGCGGUGAAAUGCGUAGAGAUUUGGAAGAACACCAGUGGCGAAGGCGACUUUCUGGACGAUGUCUGACGCUGAGGCGCGAAAGCUAGGGGAGCGAACGG